rnacentral:tRNA from 1 species
GGCGCGAUAGCAAAGUGGCUAUGCACUGGACUGCAACUCUAGAUACGAAGGUUCGAUUCCUUCUCGCGCCUCCA